GGGAUAUGAUGAGUGGUCACUGAUCGCUAUUAAAUAUGCGAGAAGGGCGUCCAGGCCCAGCCUGGUUACGACAAUUUGGGCGCCCUCACUUUCACCAAUCUGAUCUC